UCCGUAGGUGAACCUGCGGAGGGAUCAUUACCGAGUUUACAACUCCCAAACCCCUGUGAACAUACCACUUGUUGCCUCGGCGGAUCAGCCCGCUCCCGGUAAAACGGGACGGCCCGCCAGAGGACCCCUAAACUCUGUUUCUAUAUGUAACUUCUGAGUAAAACCAUAAAUAAAUCAAAACUUUCAACAACGGAUCUCUUGGUUCUGGCAUCGAUGAAGAACGCAGCAAAAUGCGAUAAGUAAUGUGAAUUGCAGAAUUCAGUGAAUCAUCGAAUCUUUGAACGCACAUUGCGCCUGCCAGUAUUCUGGCGGGCAUGCCUGUUCGAGCGUCAUUUCAACCCUCAAGCACAGCUUGGUGUUGGGACUCGCGUUAAUUCGCGUUCCCCAAAUUGAUUGGCGGUCACGUCGAGCUUCCAUAGCGUAGUAGUAAAACCCUCGUUACUGGUAAUCGUCGCGGCCACGCCGUUAAACCCCAACUUCUGAAUGUUGACCUCGGAUCAGGUAGGAAUACCCGCUGAACUUAAGCAUAUCAAUAAGCGGAGGA
rnacentral:rRNA from 1 species